GAAUUGACACUCGAGGUUCUGUCCCUGG
rnacentral:piRNA from 1 species